GAGUUUGAUCUUGGCUCAGAUUGAACGCUGGCGGCAUGCCUUACACAUGCAAGUCGAACGGCAGCACGGGAGCUUGCUCCUGGUGGCGAGUGGCGAACGGGUGAGUAAUGCAUCCGGAACGUAUCCUGGAGUGGGGGAUAACGUAGCGAAAGUUACGCUAAUACCGCAUAUUCUGUGAGCAGGAAAGCGGGGGACCUUCGGGCCUCGCGCUCUUGGAGCGGCCGAUGUCGGAUUAGCUAGUUGGUGAGGUAAAGGCUCACCAAGGCGACGAUCCGUAGCAGGUCUGAGAGGAUGAUCUGCCACACUGGAACUGAGACACGGUCCAGACUCCUACGGGAGGCAGCAGUGGGAAUUUUGGACAAUGGGGGCAACCCUGAUCCAGCCAUGCCGCGUGAGUGAAGAAGGCC
rnacentral:rRNA from 1 species